rnacentral:lncRNA from 1 species
GCCAUUUUGGGGACGCCGUGAGGGAGUCAGCGUUGGGGACAGGGAGAGGGAGGAAAAGAGCCUGGGAAAUUGAGGCACGCGGCACCUUGAGGGCUGGAGCGGGGGAAUGGAGGCACGGGAACCUUUGUGGUUUCCCCGAGGGUCAGAGGGAGAAAGUGAAACCACUUAGCGCGAUGGGGAGAGGGCAAACUGCAUGCAGCACCAGUCACAUGGAGAGAGAAAAGGGAAACCAAGGUUCCAGACUCACUUUAUUAAAAGGAGGGGAAUGAAGGCAACAGGAA